GUCUACACCGCCCUCCGCCCCCCGGGGGGGGAGCAGAAGGGCACAGGGUCGGGGGUCGGAGACUGAGGGAUCAGACGGGGACCAGGGACCUGGGUCUGAGACUGAGGGAUCAGAGAUGGGGCCCCAGGUGAGGACCCAGACGAGGAACAGAGGCUGGGUCCAGAGGCCAGCGCUCCGAGGUCUGACCCUGGUGUCUCCAAGGCACCGAGUCCCUGGGUCUUGAGAGCGGCACGAAGUCCCUGUCCCCGGCAGAGCGGACCCCAGGGCUCUGGAUCCUCGGAGCCUGAGGUGGGCGCCAGGCCCUGCCGAGCACCCCUGACCUUAGGAAAGACGUGGCGAUGGGGAUUUGCCCCGAGCAGCGGCAGUCUGAAGGGUAAGAGGAUCUGGGCACACACGAAGAGCGCGGAUCAUAGCGCGGUCGCGUGUGGACUCAGCCUGUGGCACAGGACAGGGCUGGCCAGGAACCUCGUCCGGGGAUACGGACAGAGAUCCAGCUCCGCCUCUGAGGCACACUGCCCCAGCGCGGUCCAGAAAUCCUGAGAAGAAGGCGAUCAAGGGCACCGUUUCAGAACGUCUACCUAGCAGUUUCAACAAUAAGAGCCAGAGGAGGAGAGAGAGAACCUGAAAGGCAGGGAGAACAGGGUUUAAAGAACUGCCACUUUCCCUUCUUCGUUUUCACCAGUCAUGGGAGCCUCUGGUUCUUCCGAGAAAUCAGUUGCUGAUAAGCUUAAUGAUGACCACUGGAGACAUUCGGAAAUGAAGUAUUCUAAAAGUGUAUUGUAACUGUUGGAACUGUGAAAUACCCUGGUUACUAUCAAAAGCAUUGUAAGACUCUUCAAAAAACUAAAAACACAACCACCAAAUAACCCACAAAUGUCACAUUUGAGUAUACAUUCAAUAGGAGUAAAAACAGCCUUUCAAAAGAUAUGUGCAGAUACGUGUUCAUUACAACUUUGUCCACAACAGCCAGGAACGAACCUAACCUAAAUAUCUACCAACGGAUCAGUGGAAAAUGAGGGAACAUUAUUCUACCUUAAAGAAU